rnacentral:rRNA from 1 species
UACGUAGGGGGCAAGCGUUGUCCGGAUUUAUUGGGCGUAAAGAGCGUGUAGGCGGCCAGGUAGGUCCGUUGUGAAAACUCGAGGCUCAACCUCGAGCUGUCGAUGGAAACCAUCUGGCUAGAGUCCGGAAGAGGAGAGUGGAAUUCCCGGUGUAGCGGUGAAAUGCGCAGAUAUCGGGAAGAACACCCGUGGCGAAGGCGGCUCUCUGGGACGGUACUGACGCUGAGACGGCGAAAGCGUGGGGAGCGAACAGG